GAUGAACGCUGGCGGCGUGCCUAAUACAUGCAAGUCGAACGCAUUGUGGUUGAAAUGAUAUGAAGAACUUGUUCAGAUUUGAUUUUCAACAUUGCAAUGAGUGGCGAACGGGUGAGUAACACGUGGGAAACCUACCUCUUAGCAGGGGAUAACAUUUGGAAACAAAUGCUAAUACCGUAUAAUAAUUAAAAACCGCAUGGUUUUAGUUUAAAAGAUGGUCUUGCUAUCACUAAGAGAUGGUCCCGCGGUGUAUUAGUUAGUUGGUGAGGUAAUGGCUCACCAAGACAAUGAUACAUAGCCGAGUUGAGAGACUGACCGGCCACAAUGGGACUGAGACACGGCCCAUACUCCUACGGGAGCAGCAGUAGGGAAUCUUCCACAAUGGACGAAAGUCUGAUGGAGCAACGCCGCGUGUGUGAUGAAGGGUUUCGGCUCGUAAAACACUGUUGUAAAG
rnacentral:rRNA from 1 species